rnacentral:rRNA from 1 species
CCUACGGGAGGCAGCAGUGGGGAAUAUUGGGCAAUGGGCGCAAGCCUGACCCAGCAACGCCGCGUGAAGGAAGAAGGCUUUCGGGUUGUAAACUUCUUUUCUCAGGGACGAAGCAAGUGACGGUACCUGAGUAAUAAGCCACGGCUAACUCCGUGCCAGCAGCCGCGGUAAUACGUAGGUGGCAAGCGUUAUCCGGAUUUACUGGGUGUAAAGGGCGUGUAGGCGGGAAAGCAAGUCAGAUGUGAAACCCAUGGGCUCAACCUGUGGACUGGAUUUGAAACUGUUUGUCUUGAGUACUGGUGAGGCAGACGGAAUGCCUAGUGUAGCGGUGAAAUGCGUAGAUAUUAGGAGGAACACCAGUGGCGAAGGCAGUCUGCUGGACAGCAACUGACGCUGAGGCGCGAAAGCGUGGGGAUCAAACAGGAUUAGAUACCCCAGUAGUC